rnacentral:lncRNA from 1 species
UAUUUUUAAAUCCUCAUAUUGUAGUACAUAACAUUUAGUUGCUUAAUGAUGUGCGGUUAGCUCUGGGUCUGGUGACUUUUUAUCUUCCUAAAACAUUAAACUUCUCAGCGACGAAAAGCACGCCACAGACUUGUAUUAGUCAACCUCUACUUGAUGCGCACCUGAUAAUACCGUACACUGAUCACUUGGGAGGCCGGGGCUCCUUGCCUGGCAGGCGGUAAAGAAAUCUGGGUGCUCCAAUACUCUGCUCAGCUCCGAAGGCCAGGGUCGCCCAGAAGCGCGGGUCUAAGCCAGGAAUGCUCUCCCUCCAGGUACUCCCUCCGCCCUCCUUUCUCUCCCCUCCUCCACGCUUCGCCGGCCCUCGUCCCCAGGUAACGACGCGCUGAAAGGCCGUCGCGGAGUUUCUAAGGUGAGUUACGGGGUGAAAAGUGAGGUCUGCGAGGUCGUAAAGGCCGACACAUCCCCCUCACUUUUCUCUACCUCGGGGAAACAGGCUCUGUCGCUGCAGGGGGCGCAGUUCCAGAAGGUUCCCCGCCAAAGAGUCCAGGCCCCGACGCAGUCUCACCCCCUUCUCUGCUGACGACCAUCUGCCUUGCCCUGGCUUACCCCAAGUUCAUGGCCCGACUACGCUCUCGCCAGCCUCUCCAGCACCUUGUGUACGACGGUUGCUGUCGCCGCUCAACAAGCACUAAACCGAUUGGUUACAGGGAUGCCGGGCAGCUGGAAGGGAGGACCAAUCAGAGUGGGGCAUGCUGGGACGUGCGCUCGGCCGAGGCGGGGCUCCAAGGCUGACCGGAGUCCUUCGCUGUCCUCACCCUCGCUCUGCAGCGGCUUUAGUCGCUAUGCACGGGGGAGCUUCGGGAAAAUGCUUUCAGACGGGUGGAGGUGGCAAAAAUAGGAAGGAACAAAAAUACAACACCCAAAAAGAGCUGAGCUCUUCGCGAUGACUGAAAUCCGUAGUGAUGAGCAGAUUGCGGAAUUUGCUUUAGAGCUCGGAACUGCCUAAAGUUCCCUGGCUUUCUUCAUCUCUCAUUCCUCCCACCAGUCCACACACAGCACCACCAUGAGCACGAAAUCUGACUCAGAAGAUGUGGCCCGACACCAAAAUGUCUGAUGUUAAGCAAUAAAGAUGGUGUUCUCUUCCUGUAACCUAGACCCACAGGUUCCUCUUUGCUGUUGCGCAGUUUUGAUGUGUAUUUAAACAAGUUUAUUGCAUCAGUGUUGCAGGAGAUGGGAAACAAGAUUGCAGAUGGUGUGACAUUUCAGGCUUGGCAUCUUUCUUCCUGGAAUUGUUUCUGG